GAAGAUCUUACAUUACCAAAAAUAAUAUAAUCUUCAUAGCUUAUAACAAAUGAGAGAAAUGAAGCCAUCGGGGAAAAACAAGUUUGUCAAAAUACUGUAGAAAUGAGAAUAUAAUAAGAAUGUAGAAUUCAUAUUUUCUAAAAGUAUACAAUAUACAACCGAGUGCUUGGACCCGAGCGUAGCACGGGCCAACUUUUACAUAAAGUAUAACUCUAUUCAUCUAAAGCAUAGUCUUUGUUCAAAUUUUGAUACAAUUUCAAGCUUUCAUAAUACCAACAUCAUCAGGGCAAAGAUCUAAAGACAACAAUUACAUUCUUUGUGCACACAGGUUAAAGAAGAGGUGAAUGCUUGUGAAGUGAUGUAAUUCCAAGAAAUAUGGGAUUUCUUGAACUUAUUGGAUGUAUUAUAAAAUUCAAAC
rnacentral:lncRNA from 1 species